AACAGCUCAAAUUUGAAAUCUGGCCUUAGGUCCGAGUUGUAAUUUGUAGAGGAUGCUUUUGGCGCGGUGCCUUCCGAGUUCCCUGGAACGGGACGCCUUAGAGGGUGAGAGCCCCGUACGGUUGGACCACCAAGCCUCUGUAAAGCUCCUUCGACGAGUCGAGUAGCUUGGGAAUGCUGCUCUAAAUGGGAGGUAAAUUUCUUCUAAAGCUAAAUAUUGGCCAGAGACCGAUAGCGCACAAGUAGAGUGAUCGAAAGAUGAAAAGCACUUUGAAAAGAGGGUUAAAUAGCACGUGAAAUUGUUGAAAGGGAAGCGUUUGCGACCAGACCUUUUCCUGGCGGAUCAUCCGGUGUUCUCACCGGUGCACUUCGUCAGGUUUAGGCCAGCAUCGGUUUCUGUAGGGGGAUAAAAGCUCUGGGAACGUAGCUCCUCCGGGAGUGUUAUAGCCCUGUGCAUAAUACCCUUAUGGGGACCGAGGACCGCGCUUCGGCAAGGAUGCUGGCGUAAUGGUCGUCAACGACCCGUCUUGAAACACGGACCAAGGAGUCGAACAUUUGUGCGAGUGUUUGGGUGUUAAACCCUCACGCGUAAUGAAAGUGAACGGAGGUGAGAGCCCUUACGGGUGCAUCAUCGACCGAUCCUGAUGUUUUCGGAUGGAUUUGAGUAAGAGCAUAACUGUUCGGACCCGAAAGAUGGUGAACUAUGCGUGGAUAGGGUGAAGCCAGAGGAAACUCUGGUGGAGGCUCGCAGCGGUUCUGACGUGCAAAUCGAUCGUCAAAUCUGCGCAUGGGGGCGAAAGACUUAUCGAACCAUCUAGUAGCUGGUUACCGCCGAAGUUUCCCUCAGGAUAGCAGUGUUGUUCUUCAGUUUUAUGAGGUAAAGCGAAUGAUUAGGGACUCGGGGGCGCUUUUUUGCCUUCAUCCAUUCUCAAACUUUAAAUAUGUAAGAAGCCCUUGUUACUUAGUUGAACGUGGGCAUUCGAAUGUACCAACACUAGUGGGCCAUUUUUGGUAAGCAGAACUGGCGAUGCGGGAUGAACCGAACGCGGGGUUAAGGUGCCGGAGUGGACGCUCAUCAGACACCACAAAAGGUGUUAGCACAUUUAGACAAUAGGACGGUGGCCAUGGAAGUCGGAAUCCGCUAAGGACUGUGUAACAACUCACCUAUCGAAUGUGCUAGCCCUGAAAAUGGAUGGCGCUCAAGCGUCCCACCCAUACCCCGCCCUCA
rnacentral:rRNA from 1 species